rnacentral:rRNA from 1 species
AUUGAACGCUGGCGGCAGGCCUAACACAUGCAAGUCGAGCGGAUGAAGGGAGCUUGCUCCUGGAUUCAGCGGCGGACGGGUGAGUAAUGCCUAGGAAUCUGCCUGGUAGUGGGGGAUAACGUCCGGAAACGGGCGCUAAUACCGCAUACGUCCUGAGGGAGAAAGUGGGGGAUCUUCGGACCUCACGCUAUCAGAUGAGCCUAGGUCGGAUUAGCUAGUUGGUGGGGUAAAGGCCUACCAAGGCGACGAUCCGUAACUGGUCUGAGAGGAUGAUCAGUCACACUGGAACUGAGACACGGUCCAGACUCCUACGGGAGGCGGCAGUGGGGAAUAUUGGACAAUGGGCGAAAGCCUGAUCAAGCCAUGCCGCGUGUGUGAAGAAGGUCUUCGGAUUGUAAAGCACUUUAAGUUGGGAGGAAGGGCAGUAAGUUAAUACCUUGCUGUUUUGACGUUACCAACAGAAUAAGCACCGGCUAACUUCGUG